GAUGAACGCUGGCGGCGUGCUUAACACAUGCAAGUCGAACGAUGAUGCCCACUUGUGGGUGGAUUAGUGGCGAACGGGUGAGUAACACGUGAGUAACCUGCCCUUGACUCUGGGAUAAGCCUGGGAAACUGGGUCUAAUACCGGAUAUGACCUUCCAUCGCAUGGUGGUUGGUGGAAAGCUUUUGUGGUUUUGGAUGGACUCGCGGCCUAUCAGCUUGUUGGUGGGGUAAUGGCCUACCAAGGCGACGACGGGUAGCCGGCCUGAGAGGGUGACCGGCCACACUGGGACUGAGACACGGCCCAGACUCCUACGGGAGGCAGCAGUGGGGAAUAUUGCACAAUGGGCGCAAGCCUGAUGCAGCGACGCCGCGUGAGGGAUGACGGCCUUCGGGUUGUAAACCUCUUUCAGUAGGGAAGAAGCGUAAGUGACGGUACCUGCAGAAGAAGCGCCGGCUAACUACGUGCCAGCAGCCGCGGUAAUACGUAGGGCGCAAGCGUUAUCCGGAAUUAUUGGGCGUAAAGAGCUCGUAGGCGGUUUGUCGCGUCUGCUGUGAAAUCCCGAGGCUCAACCUCGGGCCUGCAGUGGGUACGGGCAGACUAGAGUGCGGUAGGGGAGAUUGGAAUUCCUGGUGUAGCGGUGGAAUGCGCAGAUAUCAGGAGGAACACCGAUGGCGAAGGCAGAUCUCUGGGCCGUAACUGACGCUGAGGAGCGAAAGGGUGGGGAGCAAACAGGCUUAGAUACCCUGGUAGUCCACCCCGUAAACGUUGGGAACUAGUUGUGGGGUCCAUUCCACGGAUUCCGUGACGCAGCUAACGCAUUAAGUUCCCCGCCUGGGGAGUACGGCCGCAAGGCUA
rnacentral:rRNA from 1 species